CCGGAGACUGGUUUCCCGUAAGGGAGGAAGAAGGGAGUGAAAAAGAGAGUGGCAGAGAAAUGUUGGGGGGGUUCACCUGGAAAUGGGGGAGAAAAAAAAAGAGAAGCCCUAGGAAUGGUAAGUAUAGUGGAACCGCAAGGAAAAGGGUCUUAAAAAAAAAUUAAACUCACUAUUUUUAUAUAUGUAAAAAAAAGAAAAAAGCAGCAAAUCUGGAAUCUUUAGGGUGUUGCUACCUGAAGAAAAGUCUCUUUUGUAAAGGAAACUCCCCAUCUGAGCAUAUUGGAAAAGGUGGUUUUGAAAGGGAAAUUCUCCUUUUUCAGACUGGAAAUUCACUAUCUUUGUACUUAUAUAAAAAAAGAAAGGAAUCGCUAAAGUCUAAAGGAAACAAUUUGGAGUGAAAGGUGCAAUUUUAUAGCUGUAAAUGGUAUAAAUGUUUGAAAACGGCAUUGUUUAAAGUGCCCAGGAAACAUUUUUAGAUUGAACCUGGCUAUUUUUUAUGCCUUUAAAAUGACACUGUUAAAGUACCAAGGAAACAUUUGAAGAUUGAAACGGGCUAUUUUUGUACCUUUAACAAUAGCACCGUUAAAGUGUAAAAGAAACAUUUUAAAUUGAAACUUCCUACAUUAACAUUGCCAUUGUUCAAGGUAUACAGGUUGGAAGUUGCAAUCUAAAAAUGUUUUCUUGACACUUAACCCUGCCAUUGUUAAAGGUACAAAAAGUGUCAAGGUAACAUUUUUUAAAGAUUGAAGCUCGCUAUUUUAACACCACCAUUUUUAAAUGCAUAAAUCUAGCGAGUUUUGAUCUAAACUUUUCCCUUUUAAUUUCUGGGUUGAAACUUGCUAUUUUGGGAUGUUAUAAAAUGGCGUCAUUAAAGCAAACAGGAACAUUUUUUAGACUGAAACGCCCAAUUUUUUUUUUUACUUUGAAAAAUAGUGUUGUUCAAAUAUACAGGAAACAUUUUUAGACUGAACCUUGCUAUUUUUUAUAUGUUUUAAAAAAGGAAAUACAGUGGAAAGGGAAAACCUCUUUAAAAUAAAAGAAUAUUCAGUGUUUCUUCUACAUUUAAAAGAAAGACUCCCCUUGAGAUGUAAGGUGCCGUCUCAUCAUGAAACUCCCUGUUUUUAUACACCCAUCCCCCAGUAACAUUUUUAAAACCCAUGUGUCAAAAAUUCCCUUUUUAAAAAAAGCGAAACUUACUAUUUUUAUAUAUUUGAAGAAAAAACCCACCAAGAAAGGUAAAGUAAACUCUGGAAAAGAAAACUCUCUUUUUAAAAAUGAAACUCACUUUUUUAAUACUUUAAAGUAAGCCUGGAAAUUGUUUAAGCAUGUAUUAAAAAGAAAAGCUCCCCCUUUAAAAAUAAUAUUCCUGUUUUUAGACAUUAAAAAACUCCGAAACCUGAUUUUUUUUGAUCUCAUAUUUGAAAAACCUUUUUAAAAUGAAAGGCAUCAUUUUUAUACCUUUUCACUAUUUUGCCUGUUUCAUUACAUUUUAACUAUUUUUAUCCAUUCUCAGCAUUUUCCCAUUGUUUCUAUAGGUCCACUAAUCUUUUCACUGUGCCACCAAAUCCUCAUGUUUCUUCUACAUUUCCACUAUUUUUUUCAAUAUUUCAGUAAAUGAUCAUUAUUUUAUACAUUUUCACUAUUUUCUGAUUUCAGUAUAUUUUCCCUAUUUUAUACCCUUUCCCACCAUUCAUCUCAUAAUUUCACUACAUUUUCAAUUUUUUAAUACAUGGACACUAUUUUCACCAUUUCACUCAUUUUUCAUGUUUAUACGUCUUGUGCUAUUUUCACCAUUUCACUAUUUUCACUUGUUUUAUACAUCUCCUGCUAUUUUUCACCAUUUCUCUACAUUUUCACUACUUCUAUACACCUCCUGCGGUUUUUCACCGCUUCAGUAUUUUCAUUACUUCUAUACAGCUUCCACUAUUUUUUCAUCAUUUUCAUCACUAUACAUUUUCCUGUUUUUCACAAUAUUUUGUGGUUGCCUAUAUUUAUACUAGUUCCCCAUUUGAACUAGUUUUUAUACAUUUCCCACUAUUUUUUUCCACUAUUUCACCUCACACAAAACAGCGAGUUUCAGUCUGAAAAUGGUUCCUGUAUGCUUUAACAAUGACACUUUUAAAAGUAUGAAAAUAGGGAGUUUCAGCCUAAAAAUGGUCCCUGCAUGCUUUAAAUGAUGCCAUUUUUAAAGGUACAAAAAUAGGGAGUUUCAGUCUAAAAAUGUUAUACGUUUUCACUAUUUUGUACCAACCUACUCCAUCUGCACUAUUUUUAUACAUUUUCUACUUUCUCCCCCUAUUCUACUGAAUUCUCACCAGGCAUUUCUCACCAUAUUUCACUAGAUUUUCACCCUUCUACUACGUCUUCACAAUUCCUUUCACCAUCCCAUACCAUCUUCCCUAUUUCUAUUAAUUUCCUGCUAUUUUUUCACUACACCGCUAUAUUUUCACUAUUCACUUUCACCAUACUUCACUAAUUUUUUAUUCCACCUUCCCUAUUUCUGUACGUUUUUGGCUAUUUUUUUUUUCACUCUGCUACUAUAUUACCACUAUAUAUUUUCACUAUUUCACUCAUUUUUCACCAUCUCACUACCAUCUUACUUUUAUACACAUCCUGCUAUUCUUUCACUACCCCACUAUAUUAUCGCUAUACUUUACACAGUUGUUCACUCCAUUUUCUGCCAUUUCACUGCACCUUCCAUAUUUUUAUAUCUUUAAAGGCCUUGUUACAUGUUCUUUUGGGGCAGCAGCUGGAGCUCUUAAAUGUGUUGUGUGGUCUUUUUGUGGGUUAAGUGGCUUAAAGCACUCGCUAUGCAGCUUAAAGGGCCCAGUUGUCUCUUGAUCCUGUUUGAUGAAGCUGGGGCCACCCCCCACAGCUGUGCAGCUCAAGUUCAAGGUGUGAAGGCAAGCUAGAACAAAGCUGAUAGACGUUUGUACAGCUCUCCAAGUACCAUGAAACAAGGCUCUGAGAAACAAGGCCUGUUUUUCCAGAUCAAAGUCAGCUUUUCAGUUGGGUUUCACAGUUUAGCGGGGAAAAAAAUAAGUAGCUUUUUUGUUUUUUUUUUAAAGAAAAGGCAGUUAUUUUAAGACCUUUCCAAGAACCCCUGGCCCCGAGAAGGCAGAGGGUGAAA